rnacentral:rRNA from 1 species
CCUACGAGAGGCAGCAGUGGGGGAUAUUGCACAAUGGGGGAAACCCUGAUGCAGCGACGCCGCGUGUGGGAAGACGGUCCUCUGGAUUGUAAACCACUGUCCCCAGGGACGAAGAUGCCGGUACCUGGGGAGGAAGCUCCGGCUAACUACGUGCCAGCAGCCGCGGUAAGACGUAGGGAGCGAGCGUUGUCCGGAUAUACUGGGUGUAAAGGGAGCGUAGGCGGGGAUGCAAGGUGGGUGUCAAAACUACCGGCUCAACUGGUAGUCGCACUCAAAACUGCAGCUCUUGAGUGAAGUAGAGGCAGGCGGAAUUCCUAGUGUAGCGGUGAAAUGCGUAGAUAUUAGGAGGAACACCAGUGGCGAAGGCGGCCUGCUGGGCUUUGACUGACGCUGAGGCUCGAAAGUGUGGGGAGCAAACAGGAUUAGAUCCCCCGGUAGUC